CAGCCGCCACGGUAAAACGGAGGGUGCAAGCGUUAAUCGGAAUUACUGGGCGUAAAGCGCACGCAGGCGGUCUGUCAAGUCAGAUGUGAAAUCCCCGGGCUUAACCUGGGAACUGCAUUUGAAACUGGCAGGCUAGAGUCUUGUAGAGGGGGGUAGAAUUCCAGGUGUAGCGGUGAAAUGCGUAGAGAUCUGGAGGAAUACCGGUGGCGAAGGCGGCCCCCUGGACAAAGACUGACGCUCAGGUGCGAAAGCGUGGGGAGCAAACAGGAUUAGAAACCCCUGUAGUCCCUGUCUCUUAUAC
rnacentral:rRNA from 1 species